GAGUUUGAUUCUGGCUCAGGAUGAACGCUAGCGGGAGGCCUAACACAUGCAAGCCGAGCGGGAUUUGUUGGUUAGCUUGCUAACUGAUAAUGAGAGCGGCGUACGGGUGCGUAACACGUGUGCAACCUGCCUUUAUCUGGGGGAUAGCCUUUCGAAAGGAAGAUUAAUACCCCAUAAUAUAUUAAUUGGCAUCAGUUAAUAUUGAAAGCUCCGGCGGAUAGAGAUGGGCACGCGUAAGAUUAGCUAGUUGGUGAGGUAACGGCUCACCAAGGCUGCGAUCUUUAGGGGGCCUGAGAGGGUGAUCCCCCACACUGGUACUGAGACACGGACCAGACUCCUACGGGAGGCAGCAGUGAGGAAUAUUGGACAAUGGGUGAGAGCCUGAUCCAGCCAUCCCGCGUGAAGGACUAAGGACCUAUGGUUUGUAAACUUCUUUUAUACAGGGAUAAACCUACUCUCGUGAAGGGUAAGCUGAAAGG
rnacentral:rRNA from 1 species